UACGUAGGGGGCAAGCGUUGUCCGGAAUCAUUGGGCGUAAAGCGCGCGUAGGCGGCCCUGUAAGUCCGUUGUGAAAGUCGGGGGCUCAACCCUCGAAUGCCGGUGGAUACUGUCGGGCUAGAGUGCGGAAGAGGCGAGUGGAAUUCCUGGUGUAGCGGUGAAAUGCACAGAUAUCAGGAGGAACACCUAUUGCGAAGGCAGCUCGCUGGGACGUAACUGACGCUGAGACGCGAAAGCGUGGGGAGCAAACAGG
rnacentral:rRNA from 1 species